AGAGUGAACAAAAUCAGAGCUUUCUUCACAAAGGAAAAGAGUGAGGAAUGAAUGAAGUUGACAACCCAGUGACAUCUGCAAUUCCCUUGUGACUUUUUACUUGCCAGACUCACUCUUCUCCUAAGUAGCACAAAGGAAUUGUUGCUUACGGUAGAUCUAGGUAAAAACUGGCUGGAUUUUUGGAGGAGUUACCAGGUCAUCUGUAGCUGGCCUUUCUCUAUGCAGACCCAAUACCACCUAGAUCCUUCUGCUCACCGUGGGCUAGUGCUGUGAAUUCAUUCAUUCACUCAUGGAAGCAUGUUGAUUUCUAUCACCUACCAGCCCAUCAAGUAGGUGCUAGGGAUAUAGCAAAUAAGCCACAGAUCCUAUCCUCAAGUGCCUCUGUUAUUGCUCAGUCUCAUUUGUUUUUUCUUCCAAAAUAUGAGAUAGGCAGAGAAGAUGUUCCUUUUGUACAGAAAAUGAUAUUGAGUUAUGAAUUAGCAAUGUGAUAUUCCUGCUAACACAGAAGCUCACCUCAGAAAGAAAUGGUCAGAAAUGUAAACAGCCAACUCUAAGCCUAAUUCUCAUUCCAGUCAGCUGCAGACCAUGACCCCACUAGAGACCUAUUCCAUGGGACAAGGUAGCAAAUGAGGCAAAACACUAGUGCCUGUGUUCUCCAUUCCCCAAACCAGCAUUUUCCAGAAUGUGUUUCUAUGAGAUGUUCCUAGGAAGAAAAGAGUUCCAUGGUCAGAUAAUUUUGUGACCUAUUAGCCCUGCCCUCUCUCGGAGAGUCACAAUUUGCUUCAAUGCACUGAAGUCUCUGAGGAGUCCUAAACUCAUGUUGCAUGUGGAUGGCUGCAGCUCAGCAGCUGUAGAAUCUGCACCACCUGUCUUAUGCUGAGAUCCAGCCUGGAGGAACACCCCUCUGUGGAAUGUGGCACUCUCUUGGCAGAAAGAGCAAGAAAGCAGGCAGAAACUCAUGAAGACUCUUAAAGGCUUCUGCUUGGGCACGGGGUAUGUUUCAUCUACUCACAGUCCACUGGCCAACACAAGUCACAUGGUCAAACCCCAAGUCCAUCCGUGAGUCAGGAGUUGUAUCCUCCUCCCUCCUAUGGGAGACACUGCAAGUCACAUGACAUUACAGGGAAAGGGGUCACGUGUAGUCCUCUUAAAAGGAAGGGACAGGCCGUCCGGGAGGUGAGGGGCGCCUCUGCCCGGCCGCCCCUACUGGGAAGUGAGGACCCCUCUGCCAGGCCAGCCGCCCCGUCCGGGAGGGAGGUGGGGGGGACAGCCCCCCG
rnacentral:lncRNA from 1 species